ensembl:lncRNA
GGCCAUCUUCCUUGAAAGGCGAGAAUGAAUGAGAUGUCAUUAGGUGGAUCUCUUCAAGCCUGGAGGUGUGGCUACUUGUAGGGUGGAUGGGCCCCCUCCAUAAAGUUCAUCUCCAUAGACCGUUGGAACCAGUCUUCAGUACCACCACAGAAGCUGCAGCGGCCAAGGUACAUGUGGGUUCUGAAGGGUCCAGCAACAACGAGGACAGCAAGACCCACCCAGAGCAGCUGCAGCCCUCAGAGAUGGCCCAGAAUCGGACAAGCCCUGGAAUGAGCAUCUGGGCAGCACUCCCAGCAUCUGACCUUGGAAGGAGGCUGCAGAGCUGUGGUUUGGGAGGUUUUCCUUCCUCAGCCAAGACCCCCCGGAGCCUGUUAUAAGGACCCAGAUCCCAUUCCCGUGAGCAGACCCUGGAGACUCUGCAAUGGGAAGACCCAAGAGACAAGGACAGAGGAGAAGAGGGUUUGCCAAGGCUUCAGGGGCUCCCAGCUGGCGGUGGUGGGGGCGGGGGGUCAGAAGAAGGAGACUUUGAUGGAGCAGAAAGGAAGCCCGGGAGAAGUUCUGGUGUCCCCUCCAAAGUUCCCCUCCCAGAGUCAUAGAAUGUAAGAGGCUGGGGGACCUUAGAAGUGAUCCAGACCUUUGGUUGAGAAGAAAGGAAGUGGGGACUUCCCUGGUGGUCCAGUGGUCAAGACUUUGUACUUCCACCGCAAGGGGCACAGGUUCGACCCUGGUCAGGGAACUAAUAUCCCACAUACCGUGUAUUCCGACCAAAAUAAAUAAAUGAAAUCUCUACCA